GGUUCCAUAGUGUAGCGGCUAGUACAUCUGCUUUACACACACAAGGUCCUGGGUUCACGCUUCAGUGGAGCCA
rnacentral:tRNA from 1 species